AUGUACAAUAACGUGUAUCCACUGUUAGAGUAUCAUACAGAAAAAUCCCCUGUGUACCAUCUAUUCACCCCUCUCCCCUAUUCCCUUAGAAACCCUUGGCAGCCACUGAUCCUUUUGUUUUUAUUUAUUUUUCUUUUUUUUCCCCCUCUACUUAACAAUAUCUCUUAUAUGAAACCACUAAUCUUCUUACUGUCCUAUAGUUUUGCCUUUGCCAGCAUAUCAUAUAGUAGGAAUCCCACAGUGUGGAAUAAUAUAGUAUAUACUGUAUUCCAUUGCAUAUGGGCACCACACUGUGUAUCCAUUUACUCUGUCAGAUACAGUGCCUUCCUGGGACCCACUGCAGGCGCGAAUUCCAGCGACUGGAGGACAGCAGGUCAGCACAUCUCCUAACCGCUACUCAAAUCGAGAAGCAAGAUUCACAGCAUUUCAGACCUCUGUGGACACCCUUCCCAAUCACCAUUUCUUCUUUCCUCCUCAAAGGCUACUUCUACACAGACAUAAUCAAUUUUUGACUAUUUGGCAACUAAGCAUCAUUAAAAUCCUCUCAAACUUCUAAUUGCGAAGAAUCGAUAACAUUUGUAGAAGUUGUAACAUUUCUCUGAACAAGAAAAGAAGUGACUGACCACAUUUUAAAAGUACUCUGGCACUGGUGCUGUUUUUCUUCCCUUCCCUAAAUUUGAAGAACUAUGGAGAAACGGUACUUGAUGACAAUAGUGGUUUUAAUAGGACUAACAGUACGGUGGACAGUCUCUCUUAAUUCUUAUUCAGGUGCUGGAAAACUCCCUGUUUGGUGAUUAUGAAGCUCAGAGACACUGGCAGGAAAUAUCUUUUAAUUUACCAGUCAAAUAAUGUUAUUUUAACAGCAGUGAUAACAAUUUACAGUAUUGGGGAUUGGAUUACCCGCCUCUUACAGCUUAUCAUAGUCUCCUAUGUGCCUAUGCGGCAAAGUUUAUAAAUCCAGACUGGAUUGCUCUUCAUACAUCACAUGGAUACAAGAGUCAGGCAUAUAAGCUCUAUUCAUGCGUACAACAGUUUUAAUCGCUGAUCUGCUGAUUUACAUACCUGCAGUGGUUUUGUACAGCUAUUGUUUAAAAGAAAUCUCAACUAAGAAAAAGAUUGCUAAUGCAUUACGCAUCUUGCUGUAUCCAGGCCUUAUUCUUAUAGACUAUGGACAUUUUCAGUAUCCUUUACUGAUGUAGAAAUGAAGUCGGUUGCAUAUUAUGAAAUCUAGGCUCAAUGUGUACAAUUACUAGAGCUUGUUUAAACCAAAACAAGUCAGUUGCCGUUUAGCAGUAGACUUAAUGUAUUUGAGGCUAUUACACAUGAUUUCAUGUUUGUUUUUCACUUCUGUACUUUGAAUUUCUAUUUGGAAAUAGCUUUCAUCAUAUGUGUUAUUUUAAAAUCACAUAGGAGAUAUGUUCUAUUAAAUGCAAGCUUUGUCUUUUUGAAAAAAUAAAAAUAAAUAAAUAAAUAAUCUUCCUGCUCCU
rnacentral:lncRNA from 13 species